AAACACGGACCAAGGAGUUUAGCGUGUGCGCGAGUCAUUGAGUGGCAAAACUCAAAGGCGAAAUGAAAGUGAAGGGAACUUUACGUUUCUGAGGGAAGAUGAGAUGGCUUCUAUUUAGAGCCUCUCCGCACUCCCGGGGCGUCUCUAUCUCAUUGUGAGACGAGGCGCACCUAUAGCGUACACGCUGAUACCCGAAAGAUGGUGAACUAUGCCUGGCCAGGACGAAGCCAGGGGAAACCCUGGUGGAGGUCCGCAGCGAUUCUGACGUGCAAAUCGAUCGUCGGAGCUGGGUUUAGGGGCGAAAGACCAAUCGAACCAUCUAGUAGCUGGUUCCCUCUGAAGUUUCCCUCAGGAUAGCUUGCGCUCGGACGGAACGAGUCUCAUCCGGUAGAGCGAAUGAUUAGAGGCCUUGGGGUCGAAACGACCUCAACCUAUUCUCAAACUCCAAAUAGAUGAGAACCCUGGCUUUCUUGAACUAUGAAGCCAAGGGGUUUCGGAUCAGAGUGCCAAGUGGGCCAAUUUUGGUAAGCAGAA
rnacentral:rRNA from 1 species